rnacentral:rRNA from 1 species
CCCGCUGAAUUUAAGCAUAUAAGUAAGCGGAGGAAAAGAAACUAACAAGGAUUCCCCUAGUAAUGGCGAAUGAAGCGGGAACAGCUCAAAUUUGAAAUCUCCGUCGCCUGCGACGGCGAAUUGUAGUUUCGAGAAGCACUUUCUCGGCGGGCCCGGAGCCGUCCAAGUUGCUUGGAACAGCACGUCAUAGAGGGUGACAACCCCGUCUGUGGCGGAGCCGGCCGCUCACGAUGUGCUUUCGACGAGUCGGGUUGUUUGGAAUGCAGCCCAAAAUGGGUGGUAAACUCCAUCUAAAGCUAAAUAUUGGCACGAGACCGAUAGCGAACAGUACCGUGAGGGAAAGAUGAAAAGCACUUUGAAAAGAGAGUUAAAAAGUACGUGAAACCGUUAAAAGGAAACGAAUGGGGUUAGCAAUGCGCUCCGCGAGAUUCAGCCGGUGGACGUCGCCGGGCGGCGGUCUGCGGAUCCGAAUGGACCGCGGCCGUCCGGUUCGGCGCCUCGACCGUCGCACUUCUCGCGAGCGCGCGCCAACGUCGGUUGGGACUGGGUCUCAAAGGCGCCGGGAAGGUAGGUCCCGCCCUUCGGGGCGGGACUGUUAUAGACCGGCGUUUUCCAUGGCCCGGGCCCGACCGAGGAGCCCGCGGCGCAUGCCUCUUCUGGCUGGGGCCCCGUCGCGCCGGUCGGUAGUCGACUGUGGUGGACUGCAUGCAGUGCGCCGCGACUGCUGCCGGUCGCCGCGGCGGUGGCCUCACACCAUGCGCCCAGGACGUUGGCGGUCACAUGGCCUCAUCCGACCCGUCUUGAAACACGGACCAAGGAGUCUAACAUGUGCGCGAGUCUUCGAGUGAUCGAAACUCCCAGGCAGAAUGAAAGUGAAGGCGGCCUCGGCCGCUGAGGUGAGAACCCCUCCUCCGGGGGGGGGCGCAUCAUCGACCGACCUAUUCUACUCUUAGGAAGGUUUGAGUAAGAGCGCAUCUGUUGGGACCCGAAAGAUGGUGAACUAUGCCUGAGAAG